rnacentral:rRNA from 1 species
AGAGUUUGAUCCUGGCUCAGAUUGAACGCUGGCGGAAUGCUUUACACAUGCAAGUCGAACGGUAGAGGGGGCAACCCCUUGAGAGUGGCGAACGGGUGAGUAAUAUAUCGGAACGUGCCCAGUCGUGGGGGAUAACGUAGCGAAAGUUACGCUAAUACCGCAUACGAUCUAAGGAUGAAAGCGGGGGAUCGCAAGACCUCGCGCGAUUGGAGCGGCCGAUAUCAGAUUAGGUAGUUGGUGGGGUAAAGGCUCACCAAGCCAACGAUCUGUAGCUGGUCUGAGAGGACGACCAGCCACACUGGAACUGAGACACGGUCCAGACUCCUACGGGAGGCAGCAGUGGGGAAUUUUGGACAAUGGACGCAAGUCUGAUCCAGCCAUUCCGCGUGCAGGAUGAAGGCCCUCGGGUUGUAAACUGCUUUUGUACGGAACGAAAAGGUUUCCAUUAAUACUGGGGGCUCAUGACGGUACCGUAAGAAUAAGCACCGGCUAACUACGUGCCAGCAGCCGCGGUAAUACGUAGGGUGCAAGCGUUAAUCGGAAUUACUGGGCGUAAAGCGUGCGCAGGCGGUUAUGUAAGACAGAGGUGAAAUCCCCGGGCUCAACCUGGGAACUGCCUUUGUGACUGCAUAGCUAGAGUACGGUAGAGGGGGAUGGAAUUCCGCGUGUAGCAGUGAAAUGCGUAGAUAUGCGGAGGAACACCGAUGGCGAAGGCAAUC